rnacentral:lncRNA from 10 species
UCAGACCGGCGCGGGGCGCUGCGGCCCAACUCCUUAGUAGGACGACGUGACUCGAGGGGCCGGAGGACGGACGGGACCACCCAAUAAGCAACCGGGAAACCACAUACCAUGGACAGUGCUCGGGGAAUUUGGGCUCCUCCUCAUCCCUGGAGGUUCCAGGGAUCUGGCAGAGAAAGAAGCCCAGUCUCACAGCAAUGACUCCUGAACAUCCUUUGCAAACACUAUUUAGGACAGAUGGACUGAAGUAGGCCCUGGGGAGAGUUGGGGGCAUUUCCGGAGGCCAGACCAAAGGUGAUCUCCAGGAGAUUUGGAUGUUAGUGCAGGAUAGCUCAGAGCCAAGUGGCAGAUAAGUCUUUGGGAGCCAGAAGGGCUCUUUCUUCUCUAAGGAACAAGUGUAGACCUAUAGGGGCAAGAACCUGUGGCAACCCUGGGAGAGGUCUGCAGAUUCAGGAGGGAACAUCCCAAAACUCAGCAGAGGAGGAGAGGGAGCUUUUGUUGGUCACCUGGAACCACUACCAAUCCAUGUUCAUGUCAAAUUAAAUGAUCACUUUGAAGUU